AUCCAUUAUUAAAUUACAAGUGCUUAAAUCAUUUCUUUCUACUUUGAUCCAUGUUGAAUCAAAUGAUAGAAGUUAUUUACUUAAGUUUCAUUUUAAGUUCUUGCAACGACAAUUGUUUUUCACUCAUUUCCUUGGUAGUAAAAUGGUUUAAAAAGUAAAAUGUGAAAGGUUCUUGAAUGUGGAUAGUCAAAGACAUAAUAAAAUYCUCAAACUAGCUGGUAGCAUGUAGACACGAUUGAAAAAAGAUGAUUAGGUUGUGAUGAGGACCUCUGCUCAUCAAGAAGCUGCUCCCACGACUUGGCCCCGAAUGGCACGAGCCUUACCAUUUGCUGCUAGGCUUGCCAGGGUUCCAUUUCCCAGAGGCAUGCCAGGUGCAUUCRGGGCCCGCCUCCCAAUUAAAACAGGUGCUCGGAGCUUGCAGUGGAAGCGAGAUGCUCCAGUGACUACAGCUGGUGAGGGUGCUGUUAAUGUUCAGAAUGGAGUGACACCCUCCAGCAAUAUACCUUCUCCAACUGGUCGGAAUCUCACAUAUGUUCGAACAGAGCCUAAACCAAGUGGUAGUUCGGGUCCAGCUUAGUUCAACAUUGUUCUGGGGCAUCAUGCAACCUUUUCUUGGCAAGCCAAAUUGAGUCCCAUUACCAUUACCCAGCCAGGAUUGAUAUAAACUUGGAAAGCAGCAAGCUCACAUCAGAGUUUUUCCCAGCCUGCCAAAAUGAGUCCCAUUACCAUUACCCAACCUUUUCUUGUGGAGGAAGUGAAUGAAGAAGGGUGGAGGCGAUGUCUCUCUUUAAAUUUUUUUUGUUUUUUUGGGGAUCCAGGAAAAAUAGAAGGAUAUCUUGAUGGUUAUCAUUUUGUUUAUUUAUUUAUUUCUAUGUGAAUUGUUUUCCACUUUUUCCCGAGGCCCUGGCAAGUGCUGAGAGCGGUGUAGAAAGAAAUGUGAAUAUGGAGGGAAGUAGUCCCCGGGAAAUUGGAGACAUUAUUCAUGCAUUCGUGCCUUUGAUGUGUGAAAGCCCCUUGGUUGUUCAUCUGCGAAACCACAGCUUAGUUUGUGUCUGCUUUAUUUGGCAAGGAUACAUUCACCCAUCCACCCUGUAUACCCCCAAUAUCAGCAUGUUUAAUAUUAUCUUGUUAGAUGAAAUUUCGUUACUAUUCUCCAAUAAAAAAAAGAAUAUGGUACA